CGCUUUGCAUGUUUGCUCGGACGUUUGACUUCUCCACACUUUUCAGUCCCAAAGGGCACCUGAGCUUCAUCAAGAAUCCCCUUGACCUGAGCGCCAUACCUGGUUGUUGCUACGUAUCAGUAGGGUUUACAGUAAUUCUUGAAAAUGAUAUGAAGUUAUAACUGUUUACUGUAUUAUUUGUGGUUGUAGGUGUCCAAAAAUUUACCUCUGUUGUUCUUGAUCAUAAUCCAUUUCCUCACCAGAGUCCUCAAGAGCCUGAGUUUCUUCGUUCUCACUGUUUCUAAUGUCUUCUUCCAAAUCAAGCAGUGGUGACUCAGCAGCAUGAAGUUCUUUUUCGCCCUAUAAAAAGCACAAACACAAAUCAUAUAUAUCACUGAGCUCACUAGCGCAAAAAUACUUAAACAAGUACUACUGGAAGCUAAAAAAGGCAUGUCCUACUGGCAAGAUAACAUAAAAAUAUCAUGAUAGAACAAGAUUUACUUCCCGAACUGUGUUUCACUACAGCAAACAGAUCCGAGAGAAAAAAGACCGUAUCUUCACGGACGAAAUCUGGUCUGUCCAUUAUUGUCGUGCGAUGAGAUGCAUUGAAUGGUGUGGGGCUCAGCGCUAGACCACGUAAUACAAUCACCCACAAGGAUCGGAUGACGGAUGUUCUGAGGCGUGGGGCAGGUAACUGCAGAAACAGGGCAGCCGUCAGCCUGAUGGAGUUAAGCUGUGGCUUGGACGUCCACCGGCGACCUGAUCCGUGGAUCAGAAAAAAUGCUUUUUGGUUUGUCUGGGUGGCAUUUGUAGUAAGUAUGAGGGGUGGUGGUUGAACUUGACCCAUUGUGCACAUGCAGCAGAUCUAUUUUCUCCCAAAUACCUGCGCCACCGCGACUUGGACCCCCGCCGCCAUGAGAAAGAGCAGAACAAAUCUGAGAGAUGGAGUUCCUGGUGCAGCCAAUAAAAAGUCCGACUUGAGGAAGGUGGCUACCUUGAGACACAGGUGGAGGAACGCAGCGCGCAAGCUCAGAUUUGUGCUGCAUAUGCCGUGGCGGGGGUGCAAAGAGAAGGGUCACCACAGGCAUCAGAGCUCUCUCCGGGAAGAUCAGCUCACAAGCUCCAGGCUGAGCGAAGAGGUGUUCCACGAGCACAGCGCAAUGUUGCCAUUGGAUGUAAUAUUGAAAACCUUUUCACAGCAGUGGCAUUCUCACAGGAGUGGAUCUUGCUGUGCGGAGUAAGGAUAGAUGCUGCUGCUCCUGGGAGGACGCUUUGCCCGAAUUAUGCGUCCGCACUGGAAAAAACAAUUAGGUGCUUCGCUAAAGAUCCUGGUGAGGAUGUGACUGUGCCAACACUGGGAACAAGCUUCGACUCAUUGUGGGAAGCAAAUGAUUUCUAUAAUUUGUACUCAUUGGAGAAUAUGUUCGGUAUCAGGUAUGGCAAGAGCAAGUUAAAUGUCGACAGAACAAAAUGCAUGCAAGAGAUAGUCUGUGGAUGCAUGGGGAAAGCAAUUGUUGAGAACACAAGGUCAUGUAGAUUCUAGUGUCCAGCUCUAGUUAGGCUGAUCCGAUCGAAAGACAAUGGAUGGUACAUAGCGGAGCACCAUGAGGAGCACAACUACUCGGUGACGCCAGAUUUUGGGUAGAGAAUAAACUGGCUGUCACACAAACACAUAGAUGUUUACAGCAGGAUUUAGCAAUGUAAUUAAGGCAAAACAAUGUAAAAUUUUCAAAGGUAUAUAACAUCACAGUUGUAGGUUCUUUGAGUCAAUGGAGAAUGUACCCUUCACAAA